CCUACGGGUGGCAGCAGUGGGGGAUAUUGCACAAUGGGGGAAACCCUGAUGCAGCGACGCCGCGUGUGGGAAGACGGUCCUCUGGAUUGUAAACCACUGUCCCCAGGGACGAAGAUGACGGUACCUGGGGAGGAAGCUCCGGCUAACUACGUGCCAGCAGCCGCGGUAAUACGGAGGAUGCGAGCGUUAUCCGGAUUUAUUGGGUUUAAAGGGUGCGUAGGCGGUCCGUUAAGUCAGCGGUAAAAUUGCGGGGCUCAACCCCGUCGAGCCGUUGAAACUGGCAGACUUGAGUUGGCGAGAAGUACGCGGAAUGCGCGGUGUAGCGGUGAAAUGCAUAGAUAUCGCGCAGAACUCCGAUUGCGAAGGCAGCGUACCGGCGCCAGACUGACGCUGAGGCACGAAAGCGUGGGGAUCGAACAGGAUUAGAUACCCCAGUAGUC
rnacentral:rRNA from 1 species